CAUUUAAAAAAAAUAAAUUAGUUUGGUGUUCAUUUUAGUAACAUAUAUAUGGUUUAUUUGCAGACAAAGUUUGACCCUGUGAGUAUAGGCUGUAUAGCUAUUUACUUGCUGCCAACUGGGAAUGUUUUGUGCCUUCAUUGGAUAUCGUGUGCAGAAAUAUGACAUUUCUACCUGGGAGAACCUCUUACGGUGUAAAAUUUCUCCUUAACAGGAGUUCUGGAGGUGUAUGGGACGUUGCUGCAUAAAUUGUUUACCUCUGAGCCUUGAUGCUCGAUGAUUUCACUCUCUUUAUGGCGUGCAAGUGAAAUCAUAAAUGUGGUUUUGCUCAUAUUUUCAUAAGAGGUCAGUAUAGUAUACUAUGACACCAUAAACAUUACAUAAACAGAUCUGAUAGAGUGCACAUAAUGCAAGCUUGUUGUUGUUUUGACCUGAUUAAUUGUUUGGUUGCAGUUUGUAACUGUUAUUUUCUAUCAAAUCUGCAGUUUUGAUGUUUGAUUAAUAGUGAUUAAAUGAAUUGUUUGUGAAUGUAUUUGGAAAUAUAUAUUAAAAGUGUUAGUAUUUGGAAGCAAUGGGAGAGAAAGUGACUGCUUAUUCAUAGGGUUGUUUUUGUAGCAUUGCAGAUUAGCUUGGAGAGAGCUUGGACAACAACUUCAACUUCAACUGUUAUUUGGCUAUGUCAAGAAUGCCAAACUUUGAUUGAAGACCAUGAUAAGAUAAAGCUUCUCAGCAAUGCGAGGAAUAACUUGAAUACAACCUUAAAGGUUUGUGAACUUUGUUCUCAUGAAUUUUCAAUUUUCGGUUCACAAAGAGAAGGAGAUUGUGCAAGUAGUUAGAACUGUUUGCUUCAUGCAAGAAUGAUGAUUGAUGAAUACUUUUCAUUAUGUCUUAUUAGCACUUGAUUGCAGGGAUCCCAUACCUUCGGUAAUGUAACUUUCCAUUAGCCUUGAGAGUAAACCAAUUGUCACUCUGUAAACCAGUUGGUAAAGCUAAUAGUUUUUUUAAUUGUAUACAGGACGUGCAUAUAUAGACUAAAACUUUAUUCUUUGCAUAGCUGCUAAGCUUA